GAUGAACGCUAGCUACAGGCUUAACACAUGCAAGUCGAGGGGAAACGAUAGAGAAAGCUUGCUUUUUCUAGGCGUCGACCGGCGCACGGGUGAGUAACGCGUAUCCAACCUGCCCACCACUUGGGGAUAACCUUGCGAAAGUAAGACUAAUACCCAAUGAUAUCUCUAGAAGACAUCUGAAAGAGAUUAAAGAUUUAUCGGUGAUGGAUGGGGAUGCGUCUGAUUAGCUUGUUGGCGGGGUAACGGCCCACCAAGGCUACGAUCAGUAGGGGUUCUGAAAGGAAGGUCCCCCACAUUGGAACUGAGACACGGUCCAAACUCCUACGGGAGGCAGCAGUGAGGAAUAUUGGUCAAUGGGCGAGAUCCUGAACCAGCCAAGUAGCGCGCAGGAUGACGGCCCUAUGGGUUGUAAACUGCUUUUAUAAGGGAAUAAAGUGAGCCUCGUGAGGCUUUUUGCAUGUACCUUAUGAAUAAGGACCGGCUAAUUCCGUGCCAGCCGCCGCCGUAA
rnacentral:rRNA from 1 species